rnacentral:rRNA from 1 species
ACGAACGCUGGCGGCGUGCCUAAUACAUGCAAGUCGAACGGUCUUUCUAUGGAAGCUUGCUUCCACUGAGAAGAUAGUGGCGGACGGGUGAGUAACACGUGGGUAACCUGCCCAUAAGAGGGGGGUAACAUCCGGAAACGGGUGCUAAUACCGCAUAGUUUUCUUGAUCGUAUGAUUGAGAAAGGAAAGACGGCCUUUGUGCUGUCGCUUAUGGAUGGACCCGCGGCGUAUUAGUUAGUUGGUGAGGUAAUGGCUCACCAAGACGAUGAUACGUAGCCGACCUGAGAGGGUGAUCGGCCACAUUGGGACUGAGACGCGGCCCAAACUCCUACGGGAGGCAGCAGUAGGGAAUCUUCCGCAAUGGACGAAAGUCUGACGGAGCAACGCCGCGUGAGUGAAGAAGGUUUUCGGGAAUCGUAAAACUCUGUUGUCAGAGAAGAACAAGUUGGAGAGUAACUGCUCCAGCCUUGACGGUAUCUGACCAGAAAGCCACGGCUAACUACGUGCCAGCAGCAGC